CCUCCUAGCCCCCCUCCGGCGCCGCCGCCACCUCCUCCGCCUAGGGACUUGCUCAGCUGCUUUCUGUGAGCCUCCGCCACCCUCGGCGCGGGGUGAAUAAUCCGGCCGGAGCGACGGCGUCCAGGUGUAUUUUACAAACCUUUAAGGAGCCAGUUCUGCGAGAACAACUCAACACACCGAGUGGUGACUUACAACUACAGCCUGGGUGAAUGGUCUAACGUUGGCCCUGGGAUACUCCUAGGCGUCCUGAGAGGUCCUUGAAGCACAUGCCUCUGCGAGGGAACCUGAGUCCAGAAGAGAAGAGCUGUGACAAAGGAGCGAGCCGAAGGCAGUCUCCCCAGCCCAGCACCCUCGGACAAGCAAUGACUGCAGGCGGGUGUUCCAGAGCAAGAGAAUAAGCUUUCCAUGAAAAAAAAGUCUCUUGCUGUGUGUCUGCACAGCACGCUUCACAAUGAGGUCCACAGCAGCUGGGAUCUUUCAGUGCAGCAGAAAAAAUCAGCAUCCCUGCAUUUGAAGAAGUGAGCGGGCAGGUGCUCCAGCGAAAAUGUGAAAAACUCCAUGGCUGAUGAGCAUUAAGUGUCCUUAUUUCCAGGCAUCAGCAAGUAAACACUUAAAAGAGACAGUCUUACACUAGGGAGUAACUUAUCAGGUUUGUUUUCUCCUCUUCCAGGUACAUGGAUUUACAUAGAAAAUGCUGGAUGACUCCUUUGUUUCUAGGAUCCAUAUAUCCAUAGAUCAGACAAAUUUGUGAUUGCUAAUGCCUUCCUGGGAACAGGCUCAUGGAAUCAGAUACUUGGUAGAAAUCAAUGUAACAUGACUGCAUCAAUUUAUGUAUCUAGUCUUGUAGAUUUAUCAUUAAUCUCCUCCUCCAAGUUAAAUUUUUACUUCCUAUUUGUCAAGGUUACUUAGAGUCUUCCCUCAGCAUAAGCAGUGAUCUAACAUGUUCAUGAAAGUGGACUCUUGUGCCCGAACAGCCUCAGUCUGUAUAGAGGGAUGGCAUAGACUGGAGCCCAUGGCUACGAGCUCUGCCUUCUCAUUUAUUUGCAUAGCACUCUGCAUAAUGUUUUGGACCCUUGGGGUUUUGCCAUAGAAGAGUAAUAAUAAACAAGGAAAAUAUUGCAGAAGUAAAAUGCUCUGGAAUGGGUAAGUUCUUCCUUUUUUACACAAGUGAAAAGAAACACUGCUCAUCUGCUUGGUUUCUAACCAGUGAUUGACUGAGAGCAACUCUCUAGAUAAAUAUGAUGCUCAGAAAUCUUGUACUGGUGGUAUAUAUGUAUAAGCAGAAGAGGCUGAAGUGGAUCCAGCUAAUAAAGCUGGGUUUGUGGUUUUGCUUUUUCUUCCAUUCAGUCACAGGAUUUUUGUCUUACUUUAUUCUUUUGUGAUUUAUCUUCUCUAGCCAUGGGUUUCAGAGACUGGGAAGUUUUAACAUGAGGACUCUAGGGAAGUAAGCAGUAGAAUUGCUUAUGCCAUUUCUGUUGAGACUUCUGUUUUUACUCUAAUCCUAGUGUUUUGGCCACAUAAAUAGAAAUUAUGUGAAAGAAUACAAGAGAUGUUAAGCUACAGAAUUUCCUUCCUCUUGUGACCACAGACUGGCAGCCGUAGCAGCACCUUGGCUUUAAAUCUUUCAGCUGUAGGAGAUCAGGAGAGGAUAAAGCAGGUUUCUUGUGAGUGAUCUAGGCUAGGCUUCUUUUCGGAUUUCAGUCUGAUCACUCAGGUUAAUAGGAAAGAAUUAGCAGCAGCAAAGGGAGCAAUCUGCAGGGGGGCUUUAGCUGCUGCAGUCCUGCAUCUCGUGCAUUAUGCAACACCUAUCAUCAGUAUUCAGUAAAAACAUAUUGGAGGACAAAGACUCAAGCAUGCAUUUACCGAAAAGGGCAUGUGAAAUAAUACGGUGCAGGAAGAAAGACCCCAGAGACUGCCUACAUUGUGCCUACUUGUCAGCAUGAUCACACAGCUAAAGGAAAAGAGCAGGCCUGCUUUCCACCUGUGGCUCAGUCACAAAGCUAACAAGGCCUUUCUGUCCCAUUGAAAUUAAUGGCCAUUUUGCAGUUUUACCUGAAUGAGAAGCCGACAUCUCACAGAAGGAACUGGGGCAGCAACAUGUAAUAUGUCCCCAAACAGGAGGUACAAAAACAGUGGCAGAAUACAAAAAUACUAUGGGGUUCCUUCUUUCCUUCCUUCAAUGUGGAAAAAAAAAAGACAAAAAAAGAAAGAAAAAAAAUGCUACUUCUGUAACUGAUUUCUAAUAUGAGCCUAUUUUCAGUGCUAAAAAAUGAAUAGAGCUCACAUUGUCAACAGUAAAAUCAGCUUACUCUUGAGGCUGAUAUGCUCUGGCUCUCUCCAAAGGAAGAUAGAUUGAAGGGUGAAAGACUUCUGCAAAGGAAUGUAUCCAGGACACAGCUCAUAUCUUGUCCAUGCUUUCAAAGCUGCCCAGAGAGGGCAAGAACCACCAUAUUGCAGACAGCUGACUAAAACUCUGCCUGUAUCAUUGCUUCACAGAGAGCUGAAACAAAAGGAAAAGCCACACGAGGAAUGGAGGAGGAAAAAGACAGUAGAAAAUAACCAGUCUAAGAAUUUUAUAGGAGAAGGUAGAGAAAAAAGAUGCAUAAUGUAUUAUUGGCAGCUAACAAAGCUAAGGGUAAUAAUAAAAGCCUGUUUAAUGGAAUGGACAUAAAAGAACCACCAGGGAAAAGCAGGUCCACUGAUAAAUGAGGGAGAUAAUCAAAUUAACAAGAACUUUAUAAUGGCAGGGUUAAUGAACUGUUAUUUUGUGUUUAGUCACCCAGAAGAGGAAAAAAGGUGAAGAUGUAUGAGCAAUUACGCUUUAAUGAAGAUCUAGAUAAUAGGGUAGAAAUAGUUGACUGAAGUAAUGGAACAAUGUUGUGGAAUAUUUAGGAGGAGAUGUUGGCUAAGUGACAGGAACCUGUGUUGAAACCUACAUCUCAUUCACCCUGAAAAUUCAAAGUGUCCAGGAAAGUUAAGAAAAAUGGCUGCAAUGAUGGCCCAAUUCAAAGGCCGAUGGAGAUAACACUGCCCACUAACAGUGGGACACUGUCAUUGACUUCAUUGGUUUGGGAUCAAGAACUGAACAGAUGAGCAGGUUGUGGGGGUGCUCAGUCCUGCAAGGUGGGGAGAUGCCUGGACCCUGUCCAACAAAAAAAAGCACUUAAGUAGGUGAUACAUUUUAAGUACAAGCGCUGCUUUUCUAACUGCCGUAUGACUCAAUUUGCUUAUAGUUAAGCAUGUGCUUUGCUGACCUAGGGCCAGACGGCUCCUCAGUUUUUAGGACUGACCCCAUCCAAAUCUGGUAUUUCCCUCUUCCAAGCUUUGUAAUCCAAAAUUUUUGGUAGCUGAUACAGGGGACCUGAAGCAUUCUGUAAUAUGUCUUUCCCAAAAGGGAAGGAGCGAACUAAAUCCAUAAAUACAUUGUUUCAAGAAAAAAAUUCAAUUUUUUUAAAAGAGUUUAUCCAAUUUCUUUUCUGUUUUGAUAGUAGGAAGCCAUCAGCUUUUGAUCAAGGUAAAAUGUAGUUAAAGAAAGUGAAAGGCAAUUGGCUCUUUCAGUAAAACUAUGCAGAAACACCACAGUUCUUGGCACACAUUAUAACUGAACACUGAAACUGCUGUUUCUGUGGACAUAGAUUUAUACUUGCAUUAAAAUAAUACACUGA